AUCACGAGAAUCGGCUGCAAGGCUCUGGCCGGCCGGUCGGCAACCCCACCGCCAGUGACGGGGUGCCCCAGAUGACGAUCCGGCACGUGGGGAGAGCCCGCGUGCAAGCACGG
rnacentral:ncRNA from 1 species